rnacentral:lncRNA from 10 species
GACAAAGACAAAAACAGUCCACAUGUGAUUUCUUCUAUUUUGGAAUGUGUAGAUCACUCACUUAACUUUCCCUGAGCUUCAUGAGCUCUGCCUUCCAGUUUAAGCCCUGGAAAUACAUAACGAAGCACAAAAGCCAGCUUUGCUUUAUGAGCUCCAUGGAAAAGACACACAAUAAAAUGGUCAUAUUUUAAUGUGAAAAAUGUUAAUGACAAGUAAAGCCAAGUGUGUCAAGGGGACAUAGUAAAGGGGCCUAAUGUGGCUUGGAGAGUCAGGGAGGGCUCGUGCUUUGUACAACGGCUUUGUAUCUAAACUCUCAUACAAAGGGUGAGAAGUUGGCCAGGCAAAGAUGGGGAAUUUGUGGAAGGGGUCAUGAAAGAUUUGAGGGCUGGAAGAAAUUUCACUCUGGCUAGGGCAUAGAGCGCGAACUAGGUUCUCAGACCCGAAGCCAGAGGAAUGAGUAGAAACUACAUCACGGGACCUUGGAAACCAACGUUAAGAAGCUGCCAAAGCACCUUGAGGAGAAAGACUUGAUUAGUAUUAUAUUGAAACAUGAAUUAUUUGGGAAAUGUCAAGGUGUCUGAAAAGUGGAAUGAGUUAAAAUUGAGGAAGGAAGCAUUCUAGGUGUGAUAUUACAUUUUUUACUUGAAAGUCAUUAAUCCAGAGGAGAAGACUGAAAACCAGAAAUGCUGAGUGAUACCUCAGAGGUCACAUAACUAGUUAGUAGCAGAGUUGGGGCCAUAUACCAGUGUUGUUGAUUCUGCAGAACCAACUGCUUUCUGUAUUAUUCCAACUCAUCCUUCUUUGUGUGGAUUGGAUGGAACUGACUGUUCAGCUCAUCAUAUGUGCCUCCUCCUCCAUUUUGGAGAGAUCAAGAAAAAGACUAAUCCUUCUAUAAUCUGACUGUGAUUAUCAAAUUUCCCUGUCUGCUAGGAGACAGUUGUUUCUGGCGCGUCUCUUUGGCUCCAGUAAAGACAAUACAAACCAUGGCCAGAACAGCUAAAAUGAAAACUCUCCCAUUUCUCAGAGUGAGAGAAAACAUCAUGGGACCACAGGGGCUGAAAAACCCAUUCUUUUACUCACGUGUUGGAGGCGCCCAUUGCUACUGCCACAAUGCCUGCAAGGCCUCCCACUACACCAGCGACAGGGUCUCACUAUGUUUUCCAUGCUGAUCUCAAACUCCUGGGCCCAAGUGAUCUUCUUGCUUCAGCCUCCCAAAGUGCAGGUGUGUCCGGAAUUGGUGGGUUCUUGGUCUCACUGACUUCAAGAAUGAAGCCGCGGACCCUCGAGGUAAAGAUGGAAGCAGCACAGUAACCAGAAACAACACCGGUAGUAAAGCCAUUGCUGGAAACUAAGUCAAGAAAAACAAAGGUCUGCAUUGAAAUAUGUAGUUUAAAAAACUUCUAAGAGGGGGAAUACCAAUAUAAUGAUCUCGAUUAUCUCAAAGGAACUGUGAUUCCCAGAUUCAUUAACAAUGGAACAAAAGAAGAAUUGCCCUAUGGUACUAGUAGAAUCAUAAUGAGGCCAACCUUGUCUUUGAUAGUGACAAUAAAGAAAAAGCUGAAGAACUCUACUGAUGCCCUUGAGGUACAUCUAUAAAAGAGAGAGACCUACUCCCUUCUUUCUGCCUACUUCUGCUACCCUUACGCCAUCAAAAAGAAAAUAGAUUCCUUAAUAGUUAAUUAUAGUACUGACAUUCAUUCUUCAUCUCAAUUUUUGGAGGAAAGUUUAUUUUCAAUAUGUACCAUCUCUCAAUUGGCUAUUCUAUACGAAAAGUAAAACGGUUUGUCCUUUUAUUUAUACCAGACUCUAAUUAAGAUGACAAGGUUGUGAUUACACAGAUAUGGUUGUGCAAAUACUUUAUUAGCUGUUAUUUCCCUAAUGGAGUAACUAGAAGUUAUGUUUAUUUUCUUCCUUAUACUUGUGAAUAUUUUCAAAUUUCUCUGUAUACAAAAAAUACAAUUAAUGCAUUGAAGAUAUAGCUUAUUCAAGUUUACUCAAUCCAUUAUUUGGUAAGAAGAUUGUUUCGUAUUUUCAUUAUCUCCUAAAAAGACACUCAGCAUUUUGUUACCCAUGUUGUCCUUUCUCAAUAUGUCAAAAAGUCUCACGUCCUUCAGAUGAAACAACAAGACCACUUAGUUUUGGAAACACUCACCUUUCUGUCAUUAGUCAUAUAAAUUGUUUAAUUUGUAAAUUAAAGUUAUGCUGCCUAGAUUUGUUUCUUGUGUGUGAGACUGUCACUCCCAAAUUCUUGGAAAGAAAGAAAAUUCCGAACAAUUUAUCUGUGAUGCUUCUCAGGCUUCACUUACUGUAAAUAGUGUAUCAUUGAUACUUGUUCCAUCCAUUGCCUUUAUGCUCAAUUAUGUGCAAAAAAGGGAUGAGGGAUGAACAAUUAUUGACGGUUCAUGGAAAAUGAUAUACAAUUUCACUCCCAUACCUUACUGGGUAUUACUAUUUAUAUUGUAUGGAUGAUGUAAUUGAGGCUUAAGACAGUUAAUUAACCUAUGCCAAUGCUACGUUCUUAGGUAAUGUCAGAAAUUAGUCUUCAUCCAAUUAUGACUUCGAAGUCAAUGACUUUGAAAGAGACAUUGACUCAUUGAAAGAGACACAGUUUUAAUUGGGAAAAGGCAGACAUUGUUGCAGCACAAUGGAGACCCUUUAUUUUUACUUUAAUAAUUCCCUUAUUAAUACAUAACUGUAUAUGUUAAUAGUAAAAUCAUUAAUAUGCCAGCUUAUACAAUAUACUUAAACAGCCAUACUUUUCCAUUUUCCUAUUAAAGGUAGUUCUAGUAUAAUUGUCUCAAGUCACAAACAUGAGAAUUAAUUCCAUUACUUAUUUUUAGAAUAAAAUGUAAAAAAUUUUUACAUAUCAAAUUUUUUUGUGUGUGUGCGUAAUAUUGCUGUAAUUUACCUUCUUAACUGUAAAAGAAUAAAAUUAACUUGAGGUCAUUCUCAAUACAAAUUUAUUAAAGUUUUGAAAAUCAUGGAUAGGCCAGGCACAGUGGCUCAUUCCUAUAAUCCUAACAUUUUGGGAGACUGAGGUGAGAGCACAUAACUUGAGCCCAGGAGUUCAAGAUCAGCCUGGAAAGCACAGUGAGACCUCAUCUCUACUAAAAACAAACAAACAAAAACAAAACAUAAUUAGCUGGGCAUGGUGGCAAGUGCCUGUAGUCCCAGCUACUCAGGAGGCUGAGGUGGGAUGAUCAUUUGAGCCUAGGAGUUUGAGGCAGCAGUGAACUAUGAUCACAGCACUGCAUUCCAGCCUGGGUGACAGAAAGAGACCCUGUCUCUAAAACAAACAAACAAACAGACAAACAAAAAACAAAAAAAUAAAAUCAUGGGCAAACUCAUUAAUCAUUUUACCCUUGACAACAUAAAAAUGAUUGGCAUGAUAAAAUAUUCACAUUAAAAUCAAUGAUUUAACACUUACUGUUGGUUUUCUGAGCAGGAUGAAAUAUCUACUUUAUCUUUAGAAAGAAAGAAGGUGGAAGGUUUAGAGCAGCAUAUAUAUUACACAUAUUCCUGUUUUGUCAAACUCUGGUUUUGUUAAAUAAAUCUAAGUCAACAAAGUUCUGAAGUAGUAUUUUUCAUACCAGUAACCUUAAACUUCAUUGUCAGUUGUCUGAUAAUGCUUUUGACAUUAUUUGCUUCCCACAUAGUUUUUAACAUGAGUAAGUAAAUCAUGCCCUCCCUUUCUAAUCAGUUCUCCCUUCUCCUUAGGCACACGAUAAUCUGCAUGUGGCCUUUUUGGACUAGUAUUUCUAUAUUGACAACCCAAGACAGGUUAACUACUGUGAAGGUUACCAGGAUUCUGC